rnacentral:sRNA from 1 species
AUCCGAGCUCCUAGUCUCAAAAAUAAUGACGCCCCUUUUAAGUUUAUUGAAUAUCUAAUAUUCGUAUUCAUUACUGUUAUACACUUACUAGUUACAAAAUUCAAGCUUAUUUAUAGUUGUUAAAAUAAAUCAUACAUAAUACUGAUAGCGAUGUAAAACUUUAGUCAGAGAUUAAAAGAGUAUAAAUUUGUAAAAUAAAAACUCACAUAGUGACAUAUCAAGUUAAACGUUAAU